GCGGCGUGCUUAACACAUGCAAGUCGAACGGGAACCUUUAUUUCGGUAAAGGUGAGAGUGGCAAACGGGUGAGUAACACGUAGGCAACCUGCCGACAGGAUGGGGACAACAUUCCGAAAGGAAUGCUAAUACCGAAUGGAGUCCGGGGAUGGCAUCAUCCACGGAUCAAAGAUGGCCUCUGAAUAUGCUAUCGCCUGUCGAUGGGCCUGCGUCUGAUUAGCCAGUUGGCGGGGUAACGGCCCACCAAAGCGACGAUCAGUAGCCGGUCUGAGAGGAUGAACGGCCACAUUGGGACUGAGACACGGCCCAGACUCCUACGGGAGGCAGCAGUGGGGAAUCUUCCACAAUGGGCGAAAGCCUGAUGGAGCAACGCCGCGUGAGUGAAGAAGGUCUUCGGAUCGUAAAGCUCUGUUGCACGGGACGAAAACC
rnacentral:rRNA from 1 species